rnacentral:rRNA from 1 species
CCUACGGGAGGCAGCAGUGAGGAAUAUUGGUCAAUGGACGCAAGUCUGAACCAGCCAUGCCGCGUGGAUGAAGAAGGCUCUCUGAUUUGUAAACUGUGUUUGUACGGGGGAAAGCGCGGAUGCGCGUAUGUGUCUGAAACGAUGGUACGUAUAAGGAACGGCAAACUUCACGCCGUCCGCGGCGGUAAGACGGAGUAUUGAAGGGAUAUCUGGUCUUGUUGGGUUUAACGGGUGCGUAGGCGGUCGGAUAAGUUAGAGGUGAAAUCCCGAGGCUCAACCUCGGUAUUGCCUCUGAUACUGUGUGGCUAGAGUGUAGUAGAGGAAGGCGGAAUGUAUGGUGUAGCGGUGAAAUGCUUAGAGAU